UCCCCCGCGCGGGAGAUGGCGGCGCGCGGCCCGCUCCUGGCCUGGUGCAUCCAGCACCUGCGCGGGGAUUUCGGCCUGGACGUGGGCGAGGAGGUCGUGAGGUAUAUCUUGUCAAUAACAAACGAGGAUGAGAUCCGGGAGUACGUUGUUGACCUCAUUCAGGGGACUGAUGGAAAGAAGAGCUGGUUUGUAGAAGAACUGCUGGCCAGGUGGCGGAAAUCCUCCCAGCUGCCUCCUGAGCCUCUGCCAGCCUAUCGGAAAAAGGAUGAGACUUCUGAAGUGCCUCGGGCUGGAGACCAAGCGAAAAAGGGUAAACGCAAAGGAAGGAACAAGCAGGACACAUCUGCAUAUGCUGAGCCAAGUGCACAUGUAGAGGAAGUAAAAACCCCCCUUGACCUGGCCAAGGCACAGGAGAACAGCAGCGGAAUCAGCAGCAGUAGCAGUUCCUCUAAGAAGAAGACCAAAUAUGUUAGCCUGUAUACCAAGGAGGGGCAAGACAAGCUGGCUGUCCUGAUCCCUGGGCGUCAUGCCUGCGAGUGCCUGGGCCAGAAGCACAAGCUCAUCAACAACUGCUUGGUUUGCGGGCGCAUUGUCUGUGAGCAGGAGGGCUCUGGACCCUGCUUGUUCUGUGGUGCUCUGGUGUGCACUAAAGAAGAGCAGGACAUUCUUCAACGGGACUCAAACAAGAGCCAGAAGUUGCUGAAGAAGCUCAUGGCAGGUGCUGAAAGUUCAGGGAAUUUGGAUACCAUAAGCAAAGACUUACUGCCUCAACAAGAAGCUAGACUCAAAGCAGGUCUGGAGAUGGCUGUGAAACACAAAGACAAGUUGUUGGAAUUUGACAGGACAAGCGUACGUCGAACUCAGGUCAUUGAUGAUGAAUCAGAUUACUUUGCCAUGGACUCCAACCAGUGGCUGUCCAAGCAGGAAAGGGAAGCCCUCCAGAAGAGAGAGCAGGAGCUGCAGGAGCUGCGUCAUGCCUCUCGGCUUUCCAGAAAAAUCACCAUUGACUUUGCUGGCAGGCAGAUCCUGGAGGAAGAUGACAGCAUGGCUGAAUACCACAGCAAACUGGAUGAAACCAUUGAAGCCAUUAAUUGUGGUACACUGAGCAAGCCAGCUGGGGGCCCAGAAGCAAAGACAACUCUGAGUUCUGGUGUUUUAGUGAAUCCCCGUCUUCUUCAGCCUGCUCCUUUGUGGGUGGACCAAACUGGUUUGCUCCCACACAGGAAAGCUGUAUGUUCCAUGGAUGCUGGAAAUGAGUCUGGCUUGGAGCGGAACAGGUUGCGGAUUCAGGAUCGAGAGUUGCAGGAGAUCUCAGAUGAUGGUUGGUGCCUCAGCAUGCACCAGCCUUGGGCUUCCUUGCUCAUAAGAGGAAUCAAAAGGGUGGAGGGCAGGACCUGGUACACAUCUCAUAGAGGGCGGUUAUGGAUUGCAGCUACUGCUAAAAGACCUUCCCCUCAGGAAAUCUCUGAACUGGAGACCACCUACAGAAUGCUGCUCCGCAAAGAUGUGGAUUUUCCAAACGAUUAUCCUUCGGGGUGCCUCCUAGGCUGUGUGGAUAUGACCGACUGUUUAUCACAAGAGCAAUUUAAUGAGCAGUAUCCGGAUCUGAGCCAGGAGUCUGGGUCUCCAUUUGUCUUUAUCUGCACUAAUCCCCAGGAGAUGGUUGUGAAGUUUCCCAUCAAAGGAAAACCCAAAAUCUGGAAGCUGGAUGCAAAGAUCCAUCAGGGAGCAAAGAAGGGGUUAAUGAAGCAGAAAUCGAUGGGGUGAGCCUCGGGGGAGCAGCGCUUUGUUCCCAGGAAGCACCCUGACUGCCACAGAAGGGUGCCAGGAUGAUCCUCAACUCUGGAAAGCAGGUGCAAGACAGAUCCCACAGUUUUUAGCAACGAUGCCGUCACCUGGGAAGACCCUGAUCGCCGGAAGCCCCCCAAGGAUGUAGGUGACCCCCAGGGUGUGGAGGCAGGGAAGAGCCUUGAACCGUGAGGGGCUGUUAAC